rnacentral:rRNA from 1 species
UACGUAGGGUGCAAGCGUUAAUCGGAAUUACUGGGCGUAAAGCGUGCGCAGGCGGUUUUGUAAGUCUGUCGUGAAAGCCCCGGGCUCAACCUGGGAAUGGCAUUGGAAACUGGCGGGCUUGAGUGCGGCAGAGGGGGGUGGAAUUCCGCGUGUAGCAGUGAAAUGCGUAGAGAUGCGGAGGAACACCGAUGGCGAAGGCAGCCCCCUGGGUCGACACUGACGCUCAGGCACGAAAGCGUGGGGAGCAAACAGG